rnacentral:rRNA from 1 species
UACUCCUACGGGAGGCAGCAGUAGGGAAUCUUCGGCAAUGGGGGCAACCCUGACCGAGCAACGCCGCGUGAGUGAAGAAGGUUUUCGGAUCGUAAAGCUCUGUUGUAAGAGAAGAACGAGUGUGAGAGUGGAAAGUUCACACUGUGACGGUAACUUACCAGAAAGGGACGGCUAACUACGUGCCAGCAGCCGCGGUAAUACGUAGGUCCCGAGCGUUAUCCGGAUUUAUUGGGCGUAAAGCGAGCGCAGGCGGUUAGAUAAGUCUGAAGUUAAAGGCUGUGGCUUAACCAUAGUACGCUUUGGAAACUGUUUAACUUGAGUGCAGAAGGGGAGAGUGGAAUUCCAUGUGUAGCGGUGAAAUGCGUAGAUAUAUGGAGGAACACCGGUGGCGAAAGCGGCUCUCUGGUCUGUAACUGACGCUGAGGCUCGAAAGCGUGGGGAGCAAACAGGAUUAGAUACCCUGGUAGUCCACGCCGUAAACGAUGAGUGCUAGGUGUUGGGUCCUUUCCGGGACUCAGUGCCGCAGCUAACGCAUUAAGCACUCCGCCUGGGGAGUACGACCGCAAGGUUGAAACUCAAAUGAAUUGACGG